AAAUUGAAGAGUUUGAUCAUGGCUCAGAUUGAACGCUGGCGGCAGGCCUAACACAUGCAAGUCGAACGGUAGCACAGAGAGCUUGCUCUCGGGUGACGAGUGGCGGACGGGUGAGUAAUGUCUGGGAAACUGCCUGAUGGAGGGGGAUAACUACUGGAAACGGUGGCUAAUACCGCAUAACGUCGCAAGACCAAAGAGGGGGACCUUCGGGCCUCUUGCCAUCAGAUGUGCCCAGAUGGGAUUAGCUAGUUGGUGAGGUAACGGCUCACCAAGGCGACGAUCCCUAGCUGGUCUGAGAGGAUGACCAGCCACACUGGAACUGAGACACGGUCCAGACUCCUACGGGAGGCAGCAGUGGGGAAUAUUGCACAAUGGGCGCAAGCCUGAUGCAGCCAUGCCGCGUGUAUGAAGAAGGCCUUCGGGUUGUAAAGUACUUUCAGCGGGGAGGAAGGUGUUGUGGUUAAUAACCACAGCAAUUGACGUUACCCGCAGAAGAAGCACCGGCUAACUCCGUGCCAGCAGCCGCGGUAAUACGGAGGGUGCAAGCGUUAAUCGGAAUUACUGGGCGUAAAGCGCACGCAGGCGGUCUGUCAAGUC
rnacentral:rRNA from 1 species